rnacentral:rRNA from 1 species
GGGGAAUAUUGCACAAUGGGGGAAACCCUGAUGCAGCGACGCCGCGUGGAGGAAGAAGGUCUUCGGAUUGUAAACUCCUGUUGUUGAGGAAGAUAAUGACGGUACUCAACAAGGAAGUGACGGCUAACUACGUGCCAGCAGCCGCGGUAAAACGUAGGUCACAAGCGUUGUCCGGAAUUACUGGGUGUAAAGGGCGUGUAGGCGGAGAUGCAAGUUGGGAGUGAAAUCCAUGGGCUCAACCCAUGAACUGCUCUCAAAACUGUAUCCCUUGAGUAUCGGAGAGGCAAGCGGAAUUCCUAGUGUAGCGGUGAAAUGCGUAGAUAUUAGGAGGAACACCAGUGGCGAAGGCGGCUUGCUGGACGACAACUGACGCUGAGGCGCGAAAGCGUGGGGAGCAAACAGGAUUAGAUACCCUGGUAGUCCACGCUGUAAACGAUGAAUACUAGGUGUGGGAGGACUGACCCCUUCCGUGCCGCAGUUAACACAAUAAGUAUUCCACCUGGGGAGUACGAUCGCAAGAUUGAAACUCAAAGGAAUUGACGGGGGCCCGCACAAGCAGUGGAUUAUGUGGUUUAAUUCGACGCAACGCGAAGAACCUUACCGGGAUUUGACAUCCUACUAACGAAGUAGAGAUACAUUAGGUGCCCUUCGGGGAAAGUAGAGACAGGUGGUGCAUGGUUGUCGUCAGCUCGUGUCGUGAGAUGUUGGGUUAAGUCCCGCAACGAGCGCAACCCCUAUUGUUAGUUGCUACGCAAGAGCACUCUAGCGAGACUGCCGUUGACAAAACGGAGGAAGGCGGGGACGACGUCAAAUCAUCAUGCCCCUUAUGUCCCGGGCUACACACGUAAUACAAUGGCGGUCAACAGAGGGAAGCAAUACAGUGAUGUGGAGCAAAUCCCCAAAAAUUGUCCCAGUUCAGAUUGUAGGCUGCAACUCGCCUACAUGAAGUCGGAAUUGCUAGUAAUCGUGGAUCAGCAUGCCACGGUGAAUACGUUCCCG